CAGCCGCCACGGGAAUACGGAGGGGGCUAGCGCUGUUCGGAAUUACUGGGCGUAAAGCGCACGUAGGCGGACGGAGAAGUCAGAGGUGAAAUCCCAGGGCUCAACCUUGGAACUGCCUUUGAAACUUUCUGUCUUGAGGUCGAGAGAGGUGAGUGGAAUUCCGAGUGUAGAGGUGAAAUUCGUAGAUAUUCGGAGCAACACCAGUGGCGAAGGCGGCUCACUGGCUCGAUACUGACGCUGAGGUGCGAAAGCGUGGGGAGCAAACAGGAUUAGAUACCCCAGUAGUCCCUGUCUCUUAUAC
rnacentral:rRNA from 1 species